rnacentral:rRNA from 1 species
UACAGAGGUCCCAAGCGUUGCUCGGAUUCACUGGGCGUAAAGGGUGCGUAGGUGGUCGGGUAAGUCUGAUGUGAAAUCUCUGAGCUCAACUCAGAAACUGCAUUGGAUACUAUCUGGCUAGAGGAGUGGAGGGGGGACUGGAAUACUUGGUGUAGCAGUGAAAUGCGUAGAUAUCAAGUGGAACACCAGUGGCGAAGGCGAGUCCCUGGACACUUCCUGACACUGAGGCACGAAAGCUAGGGGAGCAAACAGG